rnacentral:rRNA from 1 species
AACGAACGCUGGCGGCAUGCCUAAUACAUGCAAGUCGAACGAGAUCUUCGGAUCUAGUGGCGCACGGGUGCGUAACGCGUGGGAAUCUGCCCUUGGGUUCGGAAUAACGUCGGGAAACUGACGCUAAUACCGGAUGAUGACGUAAGUCCAAAGAUUUAUCGCCCAAGGAUGAGCCCGCGUAGGAUUAGCUAGUAGGUAAGGUAAAGGCUUACCAAGGCGACGAUCCUUAGCUGGUCUGAGAGGAUGAUCAGCCACACUGGGACUGAGACACGGCCCAGACUCCUACGGGAGGCAGCAGUAGGGAAUAUUGGACAAUGGGGGCAACCCUGAUCCAGCAAUGCCGCGUGAGUGAUGAAGGCCUUAGGGUUGUAAAGCUCUUUUACCCGGGAUGAUAAUGACAGUACCGGGAGAAUAAGCCCCGGCUAACUCCGUGCCAGCCGCCGCAGUAA